UACGGAGGGAGCUAGCGUUGUUCGGAUAUACUGGGCGUAAAGCGCACGUAGGCGGCGUCGUAAGUCAGGGGUGAAAUCCCGGAGCUCAACUCCGGAACUGCCCUUGAAACUGCAAUGCUAGAAUCUUGGAGAGGCGAGUGGAAUUCCGAGUGUAGAGGUGAAAUUCGUAGAUAUUCGGAAGAACACCAGUGGCGAAGGCGACUCGCUGGACAAGUAUUGACGCUGAGGUGCGAAAGCGUGGGGGCAAACAGG
rnacentral:rRNA from 1 species